GACGGAGGGUGCAAGCGUUGUUCGGAAUUACUGGGCGUAAAGGGCGCGUAGGCGGUCUGUUAAGUUCGGUGUGAAAGCCCCCGGCUCACCUGGGGAACUGCGCCGGAAACCGACAGACUCGAGUACCGGAGAGGAGGGUGGAAUUCCUGGUGUAGCGGUGAAAUGCGUAGAUAUCAGGAGGAACACCGAUGGCGAAGGCAGGUCUCUGGGCAUUAACUGACGCUGAGGAGCGAAAGCAUGGGGAGCGAACAGG
rnacentral:rRNA from 1 species